rnacentral:piRNA from 1 species
UCCACUCUGAUGGGGAAGGUGUACUAGC